GCUCUGGUGGCCAAGGGAUUAGAGCAUCUGCCUUGGAUGCAGGAGGCUGAAGGUUUGAAUCCUGGCCAAGUCA